rnacentral:rRNA from 1 species
GAUGAACGCUGGCGGCGUGCCUAAUACAUGCAAGUCGAGCGAACAGAUAAGGAGCUUGCUCCUUUGACGUUAGCGGCGGACGGGUGAGUAACACGUGGGUAACCUACCUAUAAGACUGGGAUAACUUCGGGAAACCGGAGCUAAUACCGGAUAAUAUUUCGAACCGCAUGGUUCGAUAGUGAAAGAUGGUUUUGCUAUCACUUAUAGAUGGACCCGCGCCGUAUUAGCUAGUUGGUAAGGUAACGGCUUACCAAGGCGACGAUACGUAGCCGACCUGGGAGGGUGAUCGGCCACACUGGAACUGAGACACGGUCCAGACUCCUACGGGAGGCAGCAGUAGGGAAUCUUCCGCAAAGGGCGAAAGCCUGACGGAGCAACGCCGCGUGAGUGAUGAAGGUCUUCGGAUCGUAAAACUCUGUUAUUAGGGAAGAACAUACGUGUAAGUAACUGUGCACGUCUUGACGGUACCUAAUCAGAAAGCCACGGCUAACUACGUG